rnacentral:lncRNA from 1 species
AUGAAUCCAAACUAUGCAUCUAAGGACCAACACUUGCUACACCUCAGUUCGCAGCGUAGCAGUGAGGACCGUGGAAACAGCUGUGAGGUCUCCAGGGCUGGACAGCUGCUAAGACGUCCGGGAACCAGGUGGUGGUGCGGCCUGCACGCUCGGGCUCCCCUUCGGUGCUGGUCUCAGGACACACGACAGAGCUUCUGUGCAGUGCUUCCUCAGAUUCAUCCCUCGUGAAGAUGGAGAAGACAAGUUCACGUCCUGGUUCUCAAGGCUUGUGAGUGGGCAUAGAUUUGCAAGAAAAAGCAAGUUAGUAAGUAGGAACAUUUUAUUUUAUUUUAUUUUUUUAAAAGAUUUAUUUAUUUAUUUAUGAUAGACAUAGUGAGAGAGAGAGAGAGAGAGAGGCAGAGACACAGGAGGAGGGAGAAGCAGGCUCCAUGCUGGGAGCCAGACGUGGGACUCGAUCCCGGGACUCCAGGAUCGCGCCCUGGGCCAAAGGCAGGCGCAAAACCGCUGAGCCGCCCAGGGAUCCCCUAAGUAGGAACAUUUUAAAAGGAGGAUUGUGUAGUUUAGACUGUGUAGUGAUGUUGAUGGUGGUAUUGAGAGUCUACCCUAAGGUAAUGCUGAAUGGAAUUAUAAACCAAAUGUGUUAAUUUAAAAAAGAAAAUCAAUCAUACAGACAAAGGCAAGGAUUCAGAGUUUGGUUGUUGUGACUCCAUGUGGCUUACUGUUAGGUGUAGGAAACCAAUGCUAAGAAACAAGACUUGUUCAAACAAUGUUCUCUGUGGGGUUGUGCUCAUCUAGCUUUUUCUGGUCUGGGCACCAGAAUCUGAGUGGAAAAAGUAAGGUUGGACCUGUCCAGUUGAGACAGGUGCCUGGCACUUCAUGAGGCUGGGUGAGAGUGAGCACACCUGUGGAAUGGAGUGAGAGAAGCAUGUGGUAAUGUCUGCAUAAACAACAGUGAGCACAUCAUUAGUAGGCGGUAUUUAUCAAGUACAGCGAUGUGUGUAUCAUAACAUAUAAGUAUUAUUAGUAUGUCCAUUCCUUAGAAGGAAAUGAAGGCCCAGACAGAGUGAGGAGCUCCCUGAGGUUGCACAGCUAGGAGAUGCAGAAGCUAGGGUGCAAGCCAGCCUACAAAAUCCCAUCCCCUGGGUUUGUGACUGUAGCCACGAGACUGUACAUUCACCAGGUCGUGAGGAGUAAAUAUCUCCUCUGGAGUGAUCUGCUGGACAUGAAUCUCAGAUGUAAGAGAAUACAUUUGGGUUACCCCUGCUUGAUUCUUUUGUAUUUUUGAGUCUCCCUUGAUCACUUUGUUAUCUGAUGUGGCUGAUGACCCUGCUGCUCUGGUAGAUGAAGGGCUCCUCUGGGGCGACUCAAAGACCCUAAACUGAUGCCCGCUGCUCAUGGCCAUUUUUCACAUUGUGCUUGGUGGUCUUUGAGGGGAGCAUGGGAUUUAAUUAUUAUAAGGCUCUUUAUAGCACAGAGGUGGUUUGAAGGGAUCAAACAAACUCAUCUUUCAGUUUUUUGAAACUGUCUCAAGCAUUUAUGUAAGUUUCCCCCCCUCUAAAUUAUUAAAUAAACAAAACUUAUACCCUGAGAACUUUCUUGGGAAAGCCAAUAUGACAGAAACAAAAAAUGUUAAUUCUGGGAAAAUAUCUGGCAUCCCAAGUAAAACUUAUAUGAAAGGGACAAAGUGGAGAGAUUUGGGAAGUGCACUCUGUUCUCCAAUGUGUUCAUCAACAUUCUUGUCUUGUGAGGCCACAUGAUCACUUAAUUGGAUGUGGUAGGUCUUACCUAUUUUGUCUUGACACUCUGCUGGGAGUUGUAAGGGUUGCAAAUAAAGUACUGCUCUCCACGUCAAAGAAUUUAUAAUCUUGUUAGAGGAAGAAAAUCCUUGCAUCUGAAAUAUUAAAAUAUGUGAGAACAGUAGAGACAAUAAAUGCUCUGGACCUGGAGUGGUUGGCUCCUUCCCAAUGGAGGGAGGUAUUGGUCCGGAUUGUGAAGGAUGAGAAUGAUUCAGAGAAUAAGGGAGCAGGUUGCUGGAUAUUACAGGAGCAGGUUGCUGGAUAUUACAGGUUGCUGGAUAUUACAACAAGGAGGGGGUGCUGGAGAGACCUGGAAAAGCCCCUGGUCCACGUCGGACAAGUGGGCCACAUCUUCGGUUAAAGGAGAGGCUUUUCAGGCUCAGAAGAUUGAUGCAAAGUUCGGCUCUUGAAUUAAUGGUUUAAAUGAGAGGGGGGUUUCUAAAGGACACCAGCAUGUGUACGAUAACCCGUGGCUGUAAUUCAGGUGUGAGACACACCAGAGGGAUGGCUCUCCAAGGGGCACAUCACAGAGUCACUGGCUGGAGGGAUGAACAUAAGGUAUUUUAUUUCAAAAAUAUUGUUGAGUGCUUACGGUGUGUAAAGUACUGUGUGAAGUACCAUCUUAAUCAUAUUGAGAUAUGAAUAAAGUGACUAAGAUGAGCCUGACCUAUCUUUGCAGCUAUAAUCGGGGUCAGAGAAUACACUGUAAGAAUAUGUUUUUGAAAUUCAGUGAGUAAAGGGCCGGUGGAGCUGGCUUGGGGGGAUGAUGACAUGCACAGCUCUGGUCAUUCCAGGUAAAUGGUGGUAGAAGCCAAGUAGGAAGAGGGUGGAGAUUGCUGGCUGCAGGAUGGAUGGGUUUAAGCACAGAUCUGAAAUCCAUCCUCGGGGAGGUGUUUGUGAGCUGUGAGUGAGUGAGUUUACAGGGAGACGGGGAGCAGGCUGAGCAUUGGGAAAGUCCACAGUGCUGGGCCGCAUUGGGGAAGAGGGCCAGAGACAGACCAAUGGCCAGAGGUGUCUCAGGAAUGGAAGCGGCCAUUAGGGGUCUAAUGGCUAGGAGGAAGCUUGCUGAGGGAAGGCUGGGAACUGAUAGAAGAAAUGAGAUCAGUCAAUAGCUGACAAGAGAUUUGGGAGGGAACAUAGGUGACAAAAUCAAGAUUCACUCAACAACUGGCUAUAUCGAGUGCAACCUGUGUUAAUGUUUUGGAAUGUGGCAGUAAUAAGUACAGCAGCCCCUCCAUGUGGGAAAUCCGAGAGAUUACACCAAUGACCGAGAAAGAAGGCAUGAGAGGUGGCUAGAGCUCUGAGGAGGGAAGCAUUGCUUCCAGCGUGGGAAGGAAGGCUGGAGAGUCGAGGUGGGAAGGAGGGUGAACAGCAUCAGAAGGGAACAUGCAAAAAGAAGAAUGAGUUGGGUUUCCACACGUUACUGGGAUUUGAAUGUCUAGAGAUAGUGGAAUAGGGUUUUAAGACCCUGGGUCAAGAGGGGCAAAUGGUUUGGGGCUGAAAACAAUAAGGGGUGUAUGAUUACAAGGAGUAGGCAUGGGAAAGGCAGCAACAGCCCAACAGGCUGCAAAGAUCAGGUGGCGCCGGGGGGAGUGCCUCUGUUAGCAUAGGUGUGCUGGGCCGAGUAACCAGGGCUCGUGCUUGCGUGUGCACACACAUGCGCGCGUUCUCUAUGUUAUAUACACACAAACACACUACAGUUUUAUCUACUGGUGUGUAAUCUACAUAAAUGACAACUCCCUCAAAGCAUACCGUUUGCUGAUUUUUGAGAAGCGUAAAGUCAUGCAACUACCACCACAACAAAAUUUUAGAAUACUUUUAUCACCGCCCCCCAAUCCCUUCUUGCCCCUUUGGAGUCAAUUCCUCCCCUGACCCCAGUACCCACCACCCACUGAGCUGUACAGAGUCCUGCCUUUCCUGCAAUUUCAAGUAAACAGAAUCAUAUGAUGUGUUGCCUUUUGUGCCUGGCUUCUUGCAGGAAGAAGAUGGUUUUGAGCUUCUCUCUUUUUACUGCUUAUAUGAGUGGUUUAUUCAUUUUAACUGCUGAGCAAUGUUUCCUUGUGUGGAAACACUACAUUUUGUUUGUUCACCAGUAGAUGCACAUUUUUUUUUUCUAAUUUACAGAUGUUUUGAAUACUGCUGUUAUGAGCCUCACAUCAAAGUUCUCACGUGGGCACAUUUAGUUUUCUUGGGUAGAUUCCUAGAAGUACACCACUGUGUUGAUGGGCCUGUGGGAAGCAUAUGUUUAUUUUGAAGAGGAAUUGCCACAAUUUCUCUGGUAUCUACAUCCAGUAGUGAGGUAUGUGUAUUAUUUGAUCCCGGUAGCUAAAGGUGUAUAAAUGUUAUUGAUCUUUUCAAAGAACUAUUUCAUGGUUUCUCUGAUCUGUAUCUGUUGCUUCACUGUUGCCCACUGGGAUUUUAUGUCACUGGGUACAGACUUCCUUCUCCUCUAAGAUGAGUUGCUGGUGGCAAAUUUCCCUCUGAGCACAGCUUUAGCUGCAUUUCACAGAUUCUGAUGUGUGAUACUUCCAUUUUCAUUCUCUUCAAGCUACAUUUCUGUUAUGAUUUGUCCUUUGAUCUGUUGGUUAUUUAUAAGUAUCUAGUAUACUUUCCCUGUAUUUUAGGACUUACCAGAAUAUUUUUUUUUUCUGUUACUAAUUUAAAGUCUAAUUCCACUGUGGUCAGAGAACCUGCUCCUUAUGAUUUUUAAAGUUAUUGAGACUGCUCUGUGGUCAGUCCUGGUAAAUGUACCAUGUGUGUUUGAAAAGAAUACGUAUUUACGUAGAGCUAUUUAUGUAGAGCACUUUACCUUGUCCGUUGAUUUCUUACCUAUAUUUCUUUGUCUGAUUUUCUUUUUGUUUUAAGAUUUUAUUUAUUUAUUCAUUAGAGACACACACACAGAGGGUAGAGACACAGGCAGAGGGAGAAGCAGGCUCCAUGCAGGGACCCCGACAUGGGACUCGAUCCCGGCACCCGAUCCUGGGACUCCAGGAUCACGCCCUGGGCUGAAGGCAGGGGCUAAACCGCUAAGC